rnacentral:SRP_RNA from 14 species
UGUCCGAGGCAUUGCCCUUAUCUGUCAACCGUAUCAGGCUCGUGAGGGCGCAGCCGAAUGUGGUCAACUUGAGUGGCAGGGACGAGGCUGACAUGAGCCGCCACUUC